rnacentral:rRNA from 1 species
CGUAAACGAUGAGUGCUAAGUGUUGGAGGGUUCCCCUUCAGUGCUGCAGCUAACGCAUUAAGCAUUCCGCUGGGGAGUACGACCGCAAGGUUGAAACUCAAAGGAAUUGACGGGGGCCCGCACAAGCGGUGGAGCAUGUGGUUUAAUUCGAAGCAACGCGAAGAACCUUACCAGGUCUUGACAUCCUUUGACCACUCUAGAGAUAGAGCUUUCCCUUCGGGGACAAAGUGACAGGUGGUGCAUGGUUGUCGUCAGCUCGUGUCGUGAGAUGUUGGGUUAAGUCCCGCAACGAGCGCAACCCUUAUUGUUAGUUGCCAUCAUUCAGUUGGGCACUCUAGCGAGACUGCCGGUGACAAACCGGAGGAAGGUGGGGAUGACGUCAAAUCAUCAUGCCCCUUAUGACCUGGGCUACACACGUGCUACAAUGGGAAGUACAACGAGUCGCUAGGCCGCGAGGUCAUGCAAAUCUCUUAAAGCUUCUCUCAAUUCGGAUUGCAGGCUGCAACUCGCCUGCAUGAAGCCGGAAUCGCUAGUAAUCGCGGAUCAGCACGCCGCGGUGAAUACGUUCCCGGGCCUUGUACACACCGCCCGUCACACCACGAAAGUUUGUAACACCCGAAGUCGGUGAGGUAACCUUUUGGAGCCAGCCGCCUAAGGUGGGAUAGAUGAUUGGGGUGAAGUCGUAACAAGGUAACCAAGGGCGAAUUCUG